GGGGAUGCUUGGUUUCGACAGGGAGUGACCGUCGUAGAUUGCAGGCCGUGUCGCCCAGUCACGUAAAAGGGGCAAACGGCAAUAACUGCCAACAACACCCAGGGCCGCAUGGCCCUCGCUGCCUAACUAAAGGUAGCCGCCUCCGUCUCGCUCACCCGAUGGUGAGGCGAUAGGCGUCAACAAGUCGGGUGCUCCCCCGGUGACCACCUGCUGGCCGGGGGAAAAGAUUAGCGGGUUGGCCCAAAAGCCGCUUCGCUUGGGGUGUGGCUGCGGGCGAGAUAAAACACCGAGCUAAGCCUGUAGUAUAUCUGCGAUCAAGCUUUCUGGACGGGGGUUCGACUCCCCCCAUCUCCACCA
rnacentral:tmRNA from 1 species